rnacentral:tRNA from 1 species
UGGGGUGUAGCUCAGCAGUACAGCAUGUGCUUAGCAGGUACAAGGCUCUGGGUUCAAUUCUCAGCAUUAAAA